rnacentral:lncRNA from 1 species
GUUGGAGUUGUGUUGUAUUGACCGACACUUACUCCGAGUUGUGUUGUAUUGACCGACACUAACUCAUGGGUUUGUUGAGAUUGGGUUGUGAGCUAAACACUUUCGUGGUAAGGACGAUUCGUUGUUUGGCUAACCACGUUGCAUUCAAUCGGGUGAAUAACGGGAAUGGUUCACCUGUGCAUAUCAUGGUGAAUAACGGGAAUGGUUCACCUUGCAUUAAUGAUGAAUAACGGGAAUGGUUCAUCAUUCGGUGAAUAACGGGAAUGGUUCACCAAGGAUGAAUAACGGGAAUGGUUCAUCCAGGAUGGAUUUCAUCCAGGAUGGAUAACGGGAAUGGUCCAUCCAUAGUGAAAAUGCUUCACUUGUGGCGAACGGGAACGCGUCACAAAUCCGGAUACAUAUUGUGCAUUUCACGCAUACAUUCAUGCUGACUGAGAUUGUGUGCUGUUUGUUUAUUGAAGCAAUGUUAGAGCCAUAACAUGCUAGGAUUGUUUAUAUGUAUAUAUAUCAACAUAUAUCUAUACCCCAUAUCACAUGUUGAGUGUAUAUCUACUUAUUGCUGUGAGUUGACCCUAGCGCCUUGGCUUUGUUUGUAUGUUUGUGUUUGGGCGGUCGGCCUGCUGCCAGAUGUCGAUGGUCGACUGGUUCUCGACGGUCUCUCCCUCGGGGGGGAUCAGAUAUGAGCUGCUGGAUCGGGAUGCCCCCACCGCUUGGGUGAUCGAUGUAGCUGGUCACCGGGCGUCUGUCAUCGGGUUCGUGGUGAUUCGUUGUGCGGGACUGACCCGGAGCGUGGACGACUCUUACUGAAGGCUUUCUAUGGGGACCUGGAGUUGAUGCUUGAUCGAGGGAGGGUCGAUGAUAGUAGUGUGGGGUAUGGGUGGUUAGAGUCUUUUGGAGUUGGUUGUUACUGUAAUAGCUCUGAUUCGUUUUGCUUUUGGGACAGGGUAGGUUCCCGAUGCAUGGCUUUUUGUGUGGUUCUCUUACGGAGGGAUCACAGUGAGUCAGUCGGACCAUAGGGGUCUUUGCUUAGGCCAUUUUGAGGCCGACUUUCUCCUAGUGGUUUGUAAUUAUCAUUUUCUCACUUACACUUCUGGGUCUGUAUAUAUUUGCCUACGGGCACACUACUUUGGAGUCACUGCGAGUGCGCGUGACGUGGAGUGCAGCUGAGGCUGUACAUGUUUAUAUUUUGUAUAUCGGUUAGUUUAGUAGUUGGGUUUUGUCUUUACUUCCUUAUCGUUUUGAUUUAAAGGAAAGAAAACGGUCAAAAAAAAUUACCUGUUUUCCGCGUAAAGAUUAUUUUUGGUUACUAAAGUGACACCUGGAAAUCGGGGUGUUACAUUGUGGUAUCAGAGCUUAGUCGAGUCUUUUGGGAGUCUUUGGGGAAUAGGUCUUCUGUGCUAGGUUGUGUGACUCUGCAAAGAGUGAAAAUUGAUUGUCUGCAGAGCGAUUUUCGCUCUAAUUGCUUGCGUUACUACUCAAUCGGAUUGAGUGGUUUGUCUAGUGCUACCGUAUGGUUAGUACUAAUCGGACGUUCGAUGGGAUAUAGGAUGGUGGAUCUUAACCGGAUGGCGGAGGCUACACGUGAGCAUCAUCAACGACUGAUGGCGACAGCAAUGUAUCAACAAAGAGGAAUGAACCGAACAGGAGCUGGGGGACCAAUAAGGUCAGGAUCUCAAGGCUACAACAGAAGGGAGAGCUACCAUCAGUGGGGACCGUAUCAGCGUUUCAAGGGAAGAGAUCUUAUCUCAAGAGUCUACAAACCAACGACUGCUGAUACUGGAGGGGAGCCAGUUGGUGACAAAGGUGUGACAUGUACUCGUUGUGGAAAGUUUGGGCAUUUUGCUAACAAGUGCUCAGUGACUGGAUGGAGAUGCUUCAAGUGUAACCGAGAGGGGCAUCUAGCUGUGAACUGCAAGACCAAAGAAAGUCUAUGCUUCAAUUGCAACCAACCGGGACAUUUCUCCUAAGAUUGCAAGGCACUCAAGGGCGAAUCAUCAGGGAAUGUUGGGAAAGGAAAACAACUUGCUCCAGAGGAAAGGAUUCAUGCCAAGGAGGGCAAGAGCUGAGGAGUGGAACGAGGAAGAACGUGGGAACGAUGGUAAUAUUUUAACUGUUCUUUUAUUCUAGAAUAACUUACUCUUUUCUCUUCGAAGCGAGUGUGACGCGCCUAACUUGUAUUUACUACUUAGACUAUGAUCUUAUGAUUAUUAUCCCUAGUAGGACCUUAUUCGAAGUUGCUCGUGUUUUAACUAUAGGAGUUACACGAGGUUGGGAAUAGCACACUAAGUCUAGAAAGUAGCCUUCCACCGAUGCGACUAUGAGGAAGCUAGUAGCUGAAGAACGAAUCUUAGGGAGAUUCCGUAUGGGUAGUAUACGUGUCAUGUUGAGGGUGUGUAGUUCCGUAGCGGGAUCAUUAAAGGAUUUAGUAUCAGGAUAUUUGUGACUACUGGAGGAUAGGAACUCAUUGACUGUUCCAGUGGGUUUUUCUAAAUUUCCACCUUCGAUGUAUUAGGCCUGAUCAACCUAAUAUUGAGGGGGUGAUAUUCGGAAUCACAGCUGGUUAUGGACUUUGAUAGAAGGACGGGUAAGAUGAAUUUGAAUUGAUUGAGGAUUAGUCGGAUUUGGGAGGAAAGUUCGUGUUAAGCAUUUGAUUGUAAAAGAUUAAGAUUUGAAUCUGUGGAAGUCGAUGAGUGUCGUAUAGACAUUGAUUGGUUAGUUCGUGUGAUUACUCCAAGUAGAGGUAGACUAAGCCAAUAGAAUUGAUGUUGGAAAAUCUUUAAGUAUUUUCUCGGAAGUUAUGAAGUCAUAGGUUAUGUGAUUUCUGACGUGGGAUUAUUAGAGAUUAGAUAGGUUGGAUUUAAUAUCAGGUUUUAGAUGAUAGCUUGAUGGUAGCGAGAUUGAGAAGAAUUAGCUCUGAACUAGAUUGUUAUAGUCGAGUUCGAGGAAUAAGUUUUGCUAAGCGUUUGAUUAAUAUGUGGAGACAUUAUAGUCUUAAGAGAUGAAUUUUCGCUUGAAAAGUGUUGAAUUAAUGAUUAAGUUGGAGACAGAAAGUUUUAGCAUAAGUUGAAUACUCGAGGUUGUUGAUAUGGAUUCCAAAGAAAUAUGCUAGGAUUACUAAGUGAGAUUUACUAAGUUGGAUUGAAAUCUUAGGGUUAAGAUUGAAUCUUGAGAGCCGAGAAUCACGUACGAGUAGGAGAUCUUAUGGUUGUAGGUGUGACAAUAGGAGUUGAAUCUUAGAAAUUUGAAGACCUGAAGGUGAGUUCGGGUUAAGACCAUUGAGGUGUAGUAUAAGAGAGAUCUUGAAGUAAGGGAAUUCUGGGUUGUGUGGAGUGUUAAGGUCGGUGAUCGAUUGAUGUUGAUUAUGAGAUUGCGGACAUAAUGACCAUGUGAUAAGAUUUGAAUGAUGUUAGCAUAAUAAGUUAUGAUUAUGGAUAGCAGGACCAAGUGGUGAGUGUGGAAGCAUGACGACACUUAUCAGGUCGUUUGGGUAAGUGAAGGAGUUAUAGUUUUUAAGAAACUGAUAUUCAUUUAAGAAGUAUUGAAGGAUUAAAGGUCAUUAGAGGACCAAACUUGGUGAAGGUUUAGGUUUUAAAUCUAUGAAUGUCUGUCUAAGGUGUGUAGGACUUGAAGUUUGUCAGAAUUUGAUUGAGAAAUUAAGAAGUUGAUUGACGAGAUGGUGAUGGAGUCACAAAAAGGAAGGUGUUAGUAUUAAGACGAAUAUCUGAGGUUGUUAUAUUUUGACGAGUUUCGUAGAGUUUAAGAGUCAAUGGCUAGUUAAGUCCCUUGAGGUAUAGUUAUGAUGUAAUCUUCUAGAGGAUAAGUCUCGAUUUGUGCGAAGGGUUAGGGAUUUCAGUGAGUGUAAAUAGGUUUGAGUGAGGGAAGUUUCGAGGAAGAAGACGGUAAAAACGGAUUGUUAGAUAUUAAGAGGAGGAUUAUCUUAUAAGUUGUUGAUAAAUUGAUGUUGAAGGGGGAUAAGAUUAGUGAAGGACAAGGAAUAAGGACAUAAGUCGAGUUUUAAUUCGAAUAGUGACUAAGUAGAAGUUUGAUUACUUGGUGUGUGUAAAAAUAGUUACGAAGUUAGAGGUGUUUUAAUGGACUAGCGGUUUCCAAGGGGGAGGAUUCGUCUAGAAGUUAUCGAACGAACAAGUGGAGUUUUGGACUGUAGAUAAAGAUCACGAGGACAAGUUGGGUAUCUACUUUGAGAUGACAGAGAGGCACCGAGUUUAAGAAGAAUUUCGGACGACCGAAAGUAAAGAAGUAAGUGGCUAAGAUUGUGCGACUGCACGGAGUGCCAACCGGUAUCAUUUCAAGCAGAGAUCCGACGCAAGUGAUCGAGUCAGACGACAUGAAGUUGAAUGAUGGUUUGUCUUUUGAGACGCCGACAGUUAGCAGUGGGGAUAGAAGAGUGAAACAGUUAAGGGGAAAACAGAUUGCUUAAGUAAAGGUUAUGAGGAACAAUGACACGGGAAAUGCUACAUGGGAAUUGGAGGAUAAGAUCAAGGAACGGUACCCCGGACUUUUUGCUGAACUCUGAGUUUCGAGGACGAAACUUUCUUUUUGGAGGGGAGUAUUGUAAGACCUGGAUUUGCCGAACAAGUUAAUUUCCGACUCACGCGUAGAAUCAGUGUAAGCGUGACAGGAGUUUGAUAUUUGAGGAAGAUUAAUGAAGAAGAAAGUUCAGGAAUUGCUUGAGGAAUGUUGCGUAGUCGUUUUCGGAGUUAGUGCGAGUCGUCUGCACACUUGCCUUAGGGCGAGCGUGUCCAGAAUAGGCUAUUUCGUUCUUAAAGCAACGUUUUGAGUGAGAUUUCGAACUCUCGGAAAAUUUAAAGUUUCUCUCUAUUUUUCCAUCGACCAGCGUUUCAUUUCGGAACUCUGGACUGUACGCACGAUAGGUUUCACUUUUCGGAUGUCCGCCGACGCUAAUUUCUUUGCUUCGAAACCCUAUUUUCGAGCAAUGGAUGAAGACUUUUUCUAUUCGGGACUUCUAACGAAGAUUCCGUCCGCGCUGCCAGAUUUGUUUCGACGUUUUCAAUAUUUCUUCAGUGGGAAGUUUUGUCGUUUGAGCAUCACAGCAAAAAGUAGUUUUUCGGGGCAGAUUAACCGACACCGCUUUUGAGUUUUUCGAUAUCGUUUUUCCCAAAUCUUAGAUGUUUGCUUUGAGUUCUGGAAUUCUGACGCCAGAAUCUCUCUUAGAAUUCCACGGUGAUCGUGCUGCAAAAAUCGGAAUCGCGAAAUUUUCAAUUUCCCGCGAUUUCACCCGCCUAUAAAUAGCGCGAAAAAGCAAAAUCCUCUCAUUUUCUUUCCAUUUGUGGCUGAUUUCGUGGGGAGCAAGGGGGGAGGGGAUUUCCGCGAAAACUUGACCAAUCUUCGUGCAGUUCGUCCCUACUUCUAGGUAUCGAGGUAACUAUCAUGAAUCCUGCCUCUGAUUGUUGUUUCUGUUGCGUUUCUGAAGUCGUUUCUGUGCUCUAAGUUUUGAGCUUUUUCUAAAAUUGUCCGAUUUCUCUGAUUUCUCGCUUGGGUUAUGUUCCUUAUGUUCCCCUGAGUCUAAAACCUCUGUCAGUAAACUCUGAUUGCGAUUCAGUUGUCCAGGAUCUGAAAAAUUGACUCAAAACUCUUUUUGUCUCACAUUUCGAAACUUUAUUGUCGUAAAGCUAUAAUCUGACUUCGUGCCUUUAGGAUUUGUUGUCACGGAUGUCAUGAGGAUCGUUGCUGUCAAAUCUGUUUUCAGAACUGAUAACUUUGAAGUUUUGAGCCUUUAUUUUGGACCAAAAUGCCCCUGGAUAGUCGUAUUUCGGCCCGAUUGUCCGAAAAUUGUUCUGACAGUUUCUUUGCCUUAGUUUUACCCUAAAACUACCUUGUAAACUGAUUUGAUCGAAGAAAAAGAGCCGAAGCUCUUUUCUCCUUAUGGCCGUGGGCUAUUUCCUAAGGGGGGGGAGUUUUUCGUUUUCGAAAACUUGUCUUUUCGUACCUGAUUGUCCUAUUCUGAAGCUUUAACGCUUUGUCUAUCGUUUAUGUAUUGUUUUGCGAUCGAACUAAUCGAUUUUGUUUGAAUUCUGCUUUGUUUUUCUCCGAGGUUCAGUUGAAGGAACUUUGGAAUAUUCAGAGCAACUGUUUGAGGACAACCUUGAUUUCGAAGCUGGAACAGCUCGAGGUUAGGGCAACUUACAUAUAUAUUAGCUAUGAAUGCAUGAUAGGCGUCGAUCAAUUCGACUUAUGCUUUACUUUGAUGUUGAUUAUGUUGAUGAACUGAUGUUGUGAUGUUGUGCUUUGUUGGAUUGUGCGUUUUGACGCGACUUCGGAGUGGAGAUUCAUUGAUCUGGUGAUCUUUGAUGUUUCGGGGUGGAUGAGCAACCCUAGGCAAGUUCAAACGAGGGGUUUGGGACUUAGCCAUUUGUUGGGAUUCGUUGGUUUACUUAGACUUUCCCCGGGAAACUUCUUUUGGGUGGUUGGUUUCGGAAAACCUAGAAUGAAUAGAAUUUUGUAAACUAAAGACUUGGGAAACCUAGAUUUUGAGAAAUAAACUCAUAACCUGACUAAUCUGAAUUGAAAUCAUUUUUAUUAAUGUUUAAGUAUAGGAAAACUGAAGGGGAAAAUAUUUACGAAAGACGGGGAAAAGUCGACCUUUGUUGUGAGUUAUUGGAAUUGGGGAAAGCCACCAAGGUGAGCUAUGGUGAUGACUGAAAGUCACCGAGUACUUUACGUACUCUUGUUGAUGGGGUUGUGUUGUAUUGACCGACAUUAAUCCCUUGAGUUCUCUUGUUGUUGGAGCGGUGUUGUAUUGACCGACACUUAGCGCUCUUGUUGUUUGGGCUGUGUUGUAUUGACCGACACUAGACCCUUGUGUAUUCUUGUUGGAGUUGUGUUGUAUUGACCGACACUUACUCCGAGUUGUGUUGUAUUGACCGACACUAACUCAUGGGUUUGUUGAGAUUAGGUUGUGAGCUAAACACUUUCGUGGUAAGGACGAUUCGUUGUUUGGCUAACCACGUUGCAUUCAAUCGGGUGAAUAACGGGAAUGGUUCACCUGUGCAUAUCAUGGUGAAUAACGGGAAUGGUUCACCUUGCAUUAAUGAUGAAUAACGGGAAUGGUUCAUCAUUCGGUGAAUAACGGGAAUGGUUCACCAAGGAUGAAUAACGGGAAUGGUUCAUCCAGGAUGGAUUUCAUCCAGGAUGGAUAACGGGAAUGGUCCAUCCAUAGUGAAAAUGCUUCACUUGUGGCGAACGGGAACGCGUCACAAAUCCGGAUACAUAUUGUGCAUUUCACGCAUACAUUCAUGCUGACUGAGAUUGUGUGCUGUUUGUUUAUUGAAGCAAUGUUAGAGCCAUAACAUGCUAGGAUUGUUUAUAUGUAUAUAUAUCAACAUAUAUCUAUACCCCAUAUCACAUGUUGAGUGUAUAUCUACUUAUUGCUGUGAGUUGACCCUAGCGCCUUGGCUUUGUUUGUAUGUUUGUGUUUGGGCGGUCGGCCUGCUGCC